GAUGAAGAACGUAGCGAAUUGCGAUAAGUAAUGUGAAUUGCAGAUUUUCAGUGAAUCAUCGAAUCUUUGAACGCACCUUGCGCUCCUUGGUAUUCCGAGGAGCAUGCCUGUUUGAGUGUCAUGAAAUUCUCAACCUUUUCAGCUUUCUUUGUUGAUCAGGCUUGGAUGUGGGAGUAUGCGGGCUUCUCAGAAGUCGGCUCUCCUGAAAUGCAUUAGCGGGACCUUUGUUGCCUGGCUUUGGUGUGAUAAUUAUCUACGCCAUUGUAGUCAAGGAGCUUAAAAUGAGGUUUCAGCUUCUAACCGUCUCCCCUGAGACAACUUUUUGACAAUUUGACCUCAAAUCAGGUAGGACUACCCGCUGAACUUAAGCAUAUCAAUAAGCGGAGGA
rnacentral:misc_RNA from 1 species